AAGUGAAAUGAUCAUCAACAGACUAUUGAAGUCGUCGAUGGUCUGGGACUGGUUAGUCAGCUAUAGAUACUCAACAAGAAUAGAGAGGAAUUGUUCGGUCGAUACACUGACUUGUCUUCACAUAAAUUCGACUUUAAAAUGUUUUAUUCAAAUUCAUGGACCAAGUGCUUGAUAUACCUUAUCUUUAUAACAAGUGGAAAUUCUGAAUGUCCCAAACCACAAGUGGAGAGAAAUCAAAAUGUCGUUCUAACGAAUGAUGCGCUCCUAAAGAACGAUUUUCCGGAGGGCUCGGAAGUAUUGUUUCAAUGUACCAACGGCUACAUGAAAGCGCAAGGAUCUGAAAGCAUCACCUGCACGAGUGGAGAGUGGAGCACCCUGGAAUUAAUCUGCAAAAAGAAGGACUGCGGUGCACCCAAGGAGAUGCCACAUUUGACAUAUGAGUUUGAUAAGGAAGGGACGCUUUUUGGUGCAUCAGCAAGAGCAAUUUGUGAUAAAGGCUAUCAAAUUCAGGGAUCAAGUUACAGGCAGUGUUAUGCCACAGGUUGGAGUGGAAGAUCAAGAUGUGAAGGUAAAUCUUACAUAUUUCCCAUUGACACACCAUGGACAUCUUAGGCAUUGAACUUGUUUGAAUGAAGAACACCAAUUACUGCUGAACGAUUAGUGCUUUUUAGAGUCUGGUUUGCGUUCUAUUAUUAUUUUAGAGACAAAUUGUGAACGUUCAAUUACCAAAACAUUGACUGUAACUACAAUUUACAAUUGAACAAUUUAAUAAUAAUAAUAAUCCCAGACCUCAAAAGUGGUCUCCUGUAUUGGUUGAAGCACUGUUUGCGGACUUAGAAAAUCCAAAUUACACUACAAAAAUAUAAACGCAACAUAAACGCAUGUCUCACGUUUCAUGA